rnacentral:rRNA from 1 species
AAUGAACGCUGGCGGCAGGCCUAACACAUGCAAGUCGAGCGAGCAUUUCGGUGCUAGCGGCGGACGGGUGAGUAACGCGUGGGAACGUGCCCUUUUCUGCGGAAUAGUCCUGGGAAACUGGGGGUAAUACCGCAUACGCCCUUACGGGGAAAGAUUUAUCGGAGAAGGAUCGGCCCGCGUUGGAUUAGGUAGUUGGUGGGGUAAUGGCCCACCAAGCCGACGAUCCAUAGCUGGUUUGAGAGGAUGAUCAGCCACACUGGGACUGAGACACGGCCCAGACUCCUACGGGAGGCAGCAGUAGAGAGUAUUAGACAAUGGGGGCAACCCUAAUCUAGCCGUGCCGCGUGAGUGAUGAAGGCCUUAGGGUUGUAAUGCUCUUUCAGCUGGGAAGAUAAUGACGGUACCAGCAGAAGAAGCCCCGGCUAACUCCGUG